rnacentral:rRNA from 1 species
CCCUUAGAUGUUCUGGGCCGCACGCGCGCUACACUGAACAGUUCAACAAGUCUUAACCUUGGCCGAUAGGUCUGGGUAAUCUUUGAACGCUGUUCGUGAUUGGGAUAGACCUUUGCAAUUAUGGGUCUUCAACGAGGAAUUCCUAGUAAACGCAAGUCAUCAGCUUGCAUUGAUUACGUCCCUGCCCUUUGUACACACCGCCCGUCGCUACUACCGAUUGAACGUUUUAGUGAGGUAUUUGGACUGGACCUUCGGAGGUUCGCGCCUCCGUUGCUGUUCGGGAAGACUCCCAAACUUGAGCGUUUAGAGGAAGUAAAAGUCGUAACA